GCACCUGAUUGACGAUGGAUCACCAGUGAGUGGCGGACGGGUGAGUAACACGUAGGUAACCUGCCCCGGAGCGGGGGAUAACAUUUGGAAACAGAUGCUAAUACCGCAUAACAACAAAAGCCACAUGGCUUUUGUUUGAAAGAUGGCUUUGGCUAUCACUCUGGGAUGGACCUGCGGUGCAUUAGCUAGUUGGUAAGGUAACGGCUUACCAAGGCGAUGAUGCAUAGCCGAGUUGAGAGACUGAUCGGCCACAAUGGAACUGAGACACGGUCCAUACUCCUACGGGAGGCAGCAGUAGGGGAUCUUCCACAAUGGGCGCAAGCCUGAUGGAGCAACACCGCGUGAGUGAAGAAGGGUUUCGGCUCGUAAAGCUCUGUUGUUGGAGAAGAACGUGCGUGAGAGUAACUGUUCACGCAGUGACGGUAUCCAACCAGAAAGUCACGGCUAACUACGUGCCAGCAGCCGCGGUAAUACGUAGGUGGCAAGCGUUAUCCGGAUUUAUUGGGCGUAAAGCGAGCGCAGGCGGUUGCUUAGGUCUGAUGUGAAAGCCUUCGGCUUAACCGAAGAAGUGCAUCGGAAACCGGGCGACUUGAGUGCAGAAGAGGACAGUGGAACUCCAUGUGUAGCGGUGGAAUGCGUAGAUAUAUGGAAGAACACCAGUGGCGAAGGCGGCUGUCUGGUCUGCAACUGACGCUGAGGCUCGAAAGCAUGGGUAGCGAACAGGAUUAGAUACCCUGGUAGUCCAUGCCGUAAACGAUGAGUGCUAGGUGUUGGAGGGUUUCCGCCCUUCAGUGCCGGAGCUAACGCAUUAAGCACUCCGCCUGGGGAGUAC
rnacentral:rRNA from 1 species